UACGUAGGGACCAAGCGUUGUUCGGAUUUACUGGGCGUAAAGGGCGCGUAGGCGGCAUGACAAGUCACUUGUGAAAUCUCUGGGCUUAACCCAGAACGGCCAAGUGAUACUGAUCGCGGCUAGGAGUGCGGAAGGGGCAAUCGGGAAUUCUUGGAUGUAGCGGUGAAAUGACGUAGAUAGUCGAAGAGGAACACCUGACGGUGAAGACGGGUUGCUGGGCCGACACGUGACGGCUGAAGCGACGAAAGCCCAGGGGAGCAAACGGG
rnacentral:rRNA from 1 species